rnacentral:rRNA from 1 species
UACGGGGGAGCAAGCGUUGUUCGGAUUUACUGGGCGUAAAGGGCGCGUAGGCGGCCUGUGCAAGUCAGUUGUGAAAUCUCCGAGCUUAACUCGGAACGGUCAACUGAUACUGCUCGGCUAGAGUGCGGAAGGGGCAACUGGAAUUCUUGGUGUAGCGGUGAAAUGCGUAGAUAUCAAGAGGAACACCUGCGGCGAAGGCGGGUUGCUGGGCCGACACUGACGCUGAGGCGCGAAAGCGUGGGGAGCAAACAGG